GGUGUGACUUCUCUGCUCUUGGCUCUAUUCCACUCACCAAUUAAUCACCUUACCCUAGCCUGACAAGCCAAGCUCCUCGCUGCUGUUCAUCCUCUGGCUGUUCCGGUGAUUGCUCUAAAGGCUUCCCCAGAUGCAAGAACCCAUCAGUUUCAGCAGCCUUUUGGGAAUGUUCGGCGCCUUCACCACAUGGUAAAACCGAGAAUAUUUUGAGCGGAUGGUUCUGGACUGAUUUCAAAGCUCUUGUUGGUGCGGACAUGUGCGGCCUUCUCCAGCUGCCCAGGAUUAUGAACAGUGGGGGUUACAUCACCACGUGGACACAGAAGGACAGCUGUAGGAGAACUGGGGAGGCACCAACCUGGCAUGAUGGAUAUGUGAACAAGAGAAGCUGGGAAAAGAUGUACAAGGAAGAUUUCAAUAAACUCAAAGAUGGAGAGGUAAUGGGGUAGGCAUAUGUGAGGGCCCAGACUGAAGAAGUCAGUUCUCAGUGUGCUGUAAUAGAAAAAUACUUUUAGAAAGUGGAACAUCAGGUUAAACGGGUAGAUUAGGGACUUGUGACACCAUGUAGGAAAAGUUAGAAUGAACAGAACAAUCUUUGCAAUGCACAUCCAUGAAGCAUGCUACCUACCCCAAAACUCUCACUGUGUCUUCUCUGUUUGUCUAUGUGGGUGGCAUGGCCAACAGUAUUUCUGUUUAAUAUUGGGAAAAGUGAGUCAUAGACAUUAAUGCAUUUUCCCAAGAUAACAAAGAUCAAGGGAGAAGGCAAGAUUAACAUAUAGAUCACCUAAGUAUAAAGAUUUGCAAACUUUCUGUAAGGGGACAACCAAAGCAUGCUUUCAUCUUUGUGGACCACACUGCAUCACCCACUUGCACGGAAAAGCACUCACAGACACUAUGUGAAUGAACAGACAUGGAUUUGUGCCAAUAAAACUUUAUUUAUAGUAACAGGCAAUAAGCCAGACUUGUCUGUGGCGGGCCUUUUCUAAUGCCUGGUCUCUACUCUUUCCACACUAUGGUUUCACAGAUGCUUUCUUAGGUAGUUGUUUUUUGUGUUCCCUGAUGGAUCCUUUGUGUGUAGAAUAGAGACUGACCUGAAAUCUAAGAGACUGAUACAUGUCUGUUGAUCAAGCAGAGCUUAUUUUCUUAAGUUUAAUACAAAGACCAACAACC
rnacentral:lncRNA from 1 species